GAUGAAGAACGUAGCGAAAUGCGAUAAGUAGUGUGAAUUGCAGAAUUCAGUGAAUCAUCGAAUCUUUGAACGCACAUUGCGCCCUUUGGUAUUCCUUAGGGCAUGCCUGUUCGAGCGUCAUUUAAACCUUCAAGCUCAGCUUGGUGUUGGGUGACUGUCCGCUUCACCGCGGACUCGCCUCAAAAUUAUUGGCGGCCGGUACAUUGGCUUCGAGCGCAGCAGAAACGCGAACUCGGGCCCGUCGUAUUGGCUGCCAGAAGCUAUCUUCACAAUUUUGACCUCGGAUCAGGUAGGGAUACCCGCUGAACUUAAGCAUAUCAAUAAGCGGAGGA
rnacentral:misc_RNA from 1 species